UACGGAGGGUGCGAGCGUUAUCCGGAAUUACUGGGUUUAAAGGGUACGUAGGCGGCCAGAUAAGUCAGAGGUGAAAGGUCCCCGCUUAACGGGGGAAUUGCCUUUGAUACUGUUUGGCUUGAAUCAAGUGGAGGCAGGCGGAAUGCGUCAUGUAGCGGUGAAAUGCUUAGAUAUGACGUAGAACACCAAUUGCGAAGGCAGCUUGCCACAGUUGUAUUGACGCUGAGGUACGAAAGCGUGGGUAGCGAACAGG
rnacentral:rRNA from 1 species